rnacentral:rRNA from 1 species
CCUACGGGCGGCUGCAGUAGGGAAUUUUCGGCAAUGGGGGGAACCCUGACCGAGCAACGCCGCGUGAACGAAGAAGUUAUUCGUAAUGUUAAGCUCUUUUAACAGGGAAGAAAGAGAAAUUUGACGGUACCUGAAGAAUAUGCUCCGUCUAACUACGUGCCCUCAGCCGCGGUAAUACGCAGGGAGCGGGCGUUAUCGGGAAUCAUUGGGCGUAAAGGGUGCGUAGAUGGCAUAGUAAGUCUUUUGUAAAAAUGCUGGGCUCAACCCAGUAGGGCAAAAGAUACUGGAAAGCUAGAGUAUGACAGAGGCAGGUGGAACUACAUGUGUAGCGGUAAAAUGCGUAAAUAUAUGUAAGAACUCCGGUGGCGAAGGCGGCUUGCUGGGUCGAUACUGACAUUGAGGCACGAAAGCGUGGGGAGCAAACAGGAUUAGAUACCCGAGUAGUC